AGUGAACGCUGGCGGUAGGCCUAACACAUGCAAGUCGAACGGCAGCACAGUAAGAGCUUGCUCUUACGGGUGGCGAGUGGCGGACGGGUGAGGAAUACAUCGGAAUUUACUUUUUCGUGGGGGAUAACGUAGGGAAACUUACGCUAAUACCGCAUACGACCUACGGGUGAAAGCAGGGGAUCUUCGGACCUUGCGCGAUUGAAUGAGCCGAUGUCGGAUUAGCUUGUUGGCGGGGUAAAGGCCCACCAAGGCGACGAUCCGUAGCUGGUCUGAGAGGAUGAUCAGCCACACUGGAACUGAGACACGGUCCAGACUCCUACGGGAGGCAGCAGUGGGGAAUAUUGGACAAUGGGCGCAAGCCUGAUCCAGCCAUACCGCGUGGGUGAAGAAGGCCUUCGGGUUGUAAAGCCCUUUUGUUGGGAAAGAAAAGCAGCAGGUUAAUACCCCGCUGUUCUGACGGUACCCAAAGAAUAAGCACCGGCUAACUUCGUG
rnacentral:rRNA from 1 species